ACGGCUCAGUAACACGUGGAUAACCUGCCCUUGGGUCCGGCAUAACCCCGGGAAACUGGGGAUAAUUCCGGAUAACGCACAUAUGCUGGAAUGCUUUAUGCGUAAAAUGGAUUCGUCUGCCCAAGGAUGGGUCUGCGGCCUAUCAGGUAGUAGUGGGUGUAAUGUACCUACUAGCCUACGACGGGUACGGGUUGUGAGAGCAAGAGCCCGGAGAUGGAUUCUGAGACAUGAAUCCAGGCCCUACGGGGCGCAGCAGGCGCGAAAACUUUACAAUGCGGGAAACCGUGAUAAGGGGACACCGAGUGCCAGCGUCAUACGCUGGCUGUCCAGGUGUGCAAAAUACACCUGUUAGCAAGGGCCGGGCAAGACCGGUGCCAGCCGCCGCGGUAACACCGGCGGCCCGAGUGGUGAUCGUGAUUAUUGGGUCUAAAGGGUCCGUAGCCGGUUUGGUCAGUCCUCCGGGAAAUCUGACAGCUUAACUGUUAGGCUUUCGGAGGAUACUGCCAGACUUGGAACCGGGAGAGGUAAGAGGUACUACAGGGGUAGGAGUGAAAUCUUGUAAUCCCUGUGGGACCACCUGUGGCGAAGGCGUCUUACCAGAACGGGUUCGACGGUGAGGGACGAAAGCUGGGGGCACGAACCGGAUUAGAUACCCGGGUAGUCCCAGCCGUAAACGAUGCUCGCUAGGUGUCAGGCAUGGCGCGACCGUGUCUGGUGCCGCAGGGAAGCCGUGAAGCGAGCCACCUGGGAAGUACGGCCGCAAGGCUGAAACUUAAAGGAAUUGGCGGGGGAGCAC
rnacentral:rRNA from 1 species